AGAUUCUUAAAGAUGGGCUUUCCACUCUGCAUAUAUCAUUUUACUGACGGUGCUUGUUAAUUUUCCUUUACAAAGAAACAGGAAAGGAUUCAACUCGAAACAGCUCGGCUGUACAAACUAGCUGGUAUAAAUAAUAAAUGCAUUGGCAGGAUGUUAUUCCCAUAUGGAUUGGAGUUUAUAGAGCUCUUUCUAAUGCAGCCGAUGAGGUAAACUCCACCAUCACCUUGGGGAAGUUGUUACUCAAUACAUCUCUCUACAGAUCAUGCAACCUCCACAGGUCUUCUCACAUACUACUAAACUAGUCAUUCCAAAAUUCUUACAAGUAAAAUUCUCAAGCCAUAACAAAGUUACUACCAUUGAUGAUUGGAUAUUUUGCUCUCUCUGGUUUAAGCCUCUACUGCUAAGCUGUUCAGCAUUUGUGCUACUUGUCCUAUUCAAAUAAUUUCCUUUCCUCUCAUCGUUUAUGCUCGUUUACUGGUAUAUGCUCUGUGAAUGCUAAUAAUGUGAAGCCAGAAUCGAAGGACGAUGAGAGGUCGUCUGCUGAUACAGAAGAAAAUCCUGAUAUUUGAGAUGAUCCUAUGGACAAAAAUACUGAGAAGGAUUAAGCCCCUUGCUACAUUUUAAAGCACAGCGACAUGUUCGAGAAGAAAAUGAGAGCGCAACUGAGCCAGUGCAGAGAGAGGCUCUCAGUUGCUGAAGAAUGUAUGAGCUUUGGCUGUUACUUGGAUUCAUGUAUAUUUCAUUGGAGGUGAGAAUGUAUACAACUAGAGAGGGAGAGAGAGAGAGAGCUAGUGAUUUUUGUAGCAAUGUAGAGUAUGAGUUGGGAAAUUCUUCCUAUAUUAGAUAUGUUACUUGCGACUCCCUUUUUGAAAUAAAACACACACAAAGUAUACUUUGA